UUGAGAGGAGGGGCAGCCACCACACUGCCUGCAGGCCAGGGCUCACUGACUGAUCUCAGGUGAGCGUGUUGGAGCCGGAGGAGGCAGGGCAUGGGAGAGAGGAGGCCGUUGGCAGUCUGUGACAGGAAAACGUUUUGUUUUUUUCCUGUCCAGACUGUCAGUUUGCUGUGGGCCUAUUUUCAAUGAAGGGCCUCGAGCUGCAGCUCCAUCCGCCCCAUUGUUAAUCCAGCCCUGCAUUUAUUCGGUGAAGUAGGUACAUAUCUGGAAAUUACAUCUCGGCUGGCAUUUUAAACAAGCGUUCUAGGCUUUUACAGUCACAUUCUGUAUGACAUCAAAUCAGAUCGGAAUUGGGAUGCAAGUGAAGGUUUGGAGGAUUUCUCAAUGACCGCGCAUGCAACAUCUUCUGGACGACCGUGCAGCACGACCAACCAGAUGUCGCGUGUGACCAGUGACGUGCGGUGGGGAAACAAGUCUCCAACAGCAUUCAAGCACUCGAAUGCAGGAAAAACAUUUAUGAAUUCCAGGCUGUAUGGACGUAUAGGACCUCGGAUGAUAGAAGAAACAGAGGAGCAAAUGAAACCCACCCAAUUUAUAGAAUCGGAUUGGAUUUUUUUACAAUAAAUAAAAAAAGCAAUAAAUAAGUGGAAAGCCCUUUAAGGACUGACAUAAGAUCCUAAGUGCAGUGUUCAUAACCAAACCUCAUUUGAAUCACAGAAGCCUUUGGUCCUAAAUUCUUAUUUGUGAAGUGCAAACAGAAGGAUAAAAAGCACUUUGAAUCUUUAAAUUGAUGUAUCUACAAUGACCCUGGGAAUGCAAUAUGUCUGAUAAUCUGCUGCUGCAUACCCAUUGCUGAUUGCCUGUCUUUAAAGCAUCAUUUCAUAAAUGUUCCUUUGUGCACAUGAAUUAUCACAACAUCAUGUUACACAUAUACUUGUGCAGUGUUUUAAGAUCACUUGGUGGACGCACAUGGGGACAUGCAUGAUGACACCUUAAUUCACUUUAGCUGCCACCCGUAUUGCUAUUUCAAUCAAGAUCACUUCACUACAAAAUUAUAGCACUGUUACUAAUAUAGCUCAGUUCCAUAUUUGAUUCAGAAUGCUUUAUGCCCUACCCAACCUUUUACCUGUAUGUGACUAUGUCACUGUCUCACAAUUGUACUAUUUCUAAUCCUAUAUUAGGCCUGAUCCAUUUGAUUAUAUGUCACAAACCACAGUCACUAUUCCCGAUGAGUAUUCCUACUCCUGGUGACUAUACCAUCCCCUCCAUAAUAUAAGGGGCAACUUUCCAUGUAGCCAAAUAAAAAAGAUUAUGCUACAGUGUAACCCUGUGGACUGCAAUGUCCUCUGCCUGUCAUUGCAUGUGCAGUACUUGUACUACUAGCUGCAGCACAUUGCCAGAUUAUUAUAUGUUGUCUGAAAUCAAGGCACAGUGAAUUGAAUAAUAAAACAAUUGGAAAAAAAGACUCCUAGUCAUUCCCCCCUUAAGACAAACUGCUGAGCUGUUUCUUUUGUAUUUAUGUCACUUUGAUAGCAUUGCUUUUAGAUACAACAAAAAAUUGUGCACCUUUCUUCCUUACAAUACAAGUGUGCCCGAAUGAAGAAAUACAUUGUACUAAAGCGAUGAUGUCACAUUGCCAGCUUCAAAAAUGAUUAAAUAACCCUCCAUAUAUAUAUAAAUAUGUUGCUGAAUUUAUGACACACUUUUCUGGCAUAUCAUAAUUCUGAUGGAUUUGCAACAAAACACAAGGCCUUGUUCAUAAGAAGACAAUCUUCUCCCUAUAGCAUCACCACAGCCUGCAGAGCUCGCACGUCCCCCUCAUUCACAUUUGUCUUGUUUAUCCCAACUCCCGAUGAUAGGACAAAUUAUUAAACUUCACUGCCUAGGUCACAAAAGGAGGAAUUAAAAAAUUGCACCAGAUAUAAUAUUUCAGAUUUGUUUUUAGUAUUUCUUCUGAUGUGAAGAAUGAUUCUUGUAAAACAAAAGAUUUAACUGUAGAUAAAGUAACAAUUUCAGGAGCCUGAAUUUGUCUCCCAGAAACCCUGAUAAGAUCACCCAUAUGAAGACACAUUCAAGACAAUUGUUUUCUUUGCUUGCAAUUUAUAUGGGUGUUCAUGGAGUUUGGAAUUACAUGCCAGAUAAGACUGUCUUUUCUGGAAACACACACAUCAUCUCCUUUUAUCUGUCUAAAUAUAUUUAUCUGAAGACACUUUCCUUGUUACAGAUCAGAGAUUGUUUCCAACUCUAGAAAAAUGAAUCGUAGUGGAAUUACAACCAAGCUCGGUAGAAAAAAAUGUGACCUAUCAAUAUCAGUACAAAAAUAAACAAAUACAUUUACUGUCACCUUUGAAAGGUUAUUAAACUUUUAUUAAUGUGCAAGUUCUCAAAAUAGAAUUUGUUUUCAUAACCCUUUGUGCUUCUGGGCUGGGUAGUAAGUUGUGGAUUACAUGUUAUUUACUGUUUGAGUGAUUACUAAUUACAUUAGUGACUGAGCUGUAUCAAUAUGUCAGCAAUAGGACAACACAACUGUGUCAGAGAGGCACAAAUUUCCAACUUACAGUAUAUGCAUGGACUACUUUGCUAACAUUGCCGAAAUUGCAGUGAACAUAAGCAAGCAGUCAUUUGCUUUUGCCACUUCAUUACAAGUUAUUCAAUAAAGCAAGUUUAUUAUUGGUUACUGACAUUUAGUGCAAAUUUUGCACCUAAAUGCAAAGUUAGUAAAUGUAUUAGUAUCUGAGAUUAGUGGUGACGUCUAGUGGUCGAAAUAGGAAACGUCUGGAUGUAGUUUAUGCGAGAAGACUAAUAUUAACCUAAUGUAACUCCCCGGCAAAAAAAAAAAUAAAUAAAUAAAUAAAAGAGAAAUAAGAAUAAAAAGUGAUACCUGAUCAAAUAGCUCUUUCGUUAUUAUUCACAUUGUGAGGUCUUGAGUUAUCCUGCUUCGUGAUUCAUUACAAAUAGCUUUGUUUUCACUGUCAGAUGAGAUGCAGUUUGGAACAUGACAGCAAUGGUAUUGUAGGAUUUUUUUUAUAUAUUAUUCUAAUCUAGACAAACCUAUAGAUCUUGAAAAACACAAUUGCUGAAGUGAAAAUUAAAUCAAAUCACUUGAUGAGAAGGAAAAUGGGACGUGCAUGUAAUUGCACUCCAUUUAAAACUCUUUCAAGUAUUUUCACUUGCAGGUUCCUGUAGGCGUCCAUUCACAUUGCUUUGUUAUUAUUAAUAUGCGGUUUUGACACUGAAGAUUUGUGACAGAAUUGUCAGCUAUGUCAUCUCUUGAUUGAAAAAAAAAGACAUUUUAAAAGACUCAAACAGGAUUCGAUUUAUAUCUGACAGUGAGGGGAGAAAAGAAAAUUAUGUAAAAUAUUUGCUGUACUUUAAAAUCUGUCGUAGAUCUAAUGCAAGUGCUGUUUUGUGAUAGUUUAUCAAAUCUUAGCAAUGCAGAUUAAUUCAUUUAUGUCAUUUCGAUUUGAAUGUUAUCAUUGUUUUAAUAAUAGCAUAUGCAUCAUUAACAGUUAUCUUUGAAUUACAUUUAUUUUUUUACCCAACGCAAUGCGUAAUUU